AGACUGGUGUGGUUUGGGAAUUCUACAUCAGACAUUGAUUAUUUUGCAGUGCUCAUAUUUGUAUGUGUUUCAUCCCAGUAGUGUUACAGUGGGUAGCAAGAUUUAUUUGGAACCAGCAUAUGACAGAAACCUUUUGGCUUACGAGUCUUCCCAAGAUUAUAUGUGAUUGUGCAAUAACAAUUUUUGGGGUAAAAGUCUAUAUCAUAUCCAAACUAGACAAACUUUAAAAGGGUGGAUUUCUUGUCCAGUUUG